rnacentral:rRNA from 1 species
UGUAUUAUGAAGAAACGUUUUCUGCUUCCAGGAUNAGCNNAAAUCCCUUAGGAUAAGGNAUCAUGGAGGGUGAGAAUCCCGUUCAUGGUUAAUCUUAAGGANGNUCUACGAGACGUUCUCCAAGAGUCGAGUUGUUUGGGAUUGCAGCUCAAAAUGGGAGGUAAAUUUCUCCUAAGGCUAAAUAUUGGCGAGAGACCGAUAGCGAACAAGUACCGUGAGGGAAAGAUGAAAAGAACUUUGAAAAGAGAGUUAAACAGUACGUGAAAUUGUUGAAAGGGAAACGAUUGAAGUCAGUCAUACCAACGGGAAAUCAACCUUUUGAGUUCGUUCUUGUGGGUUUCGAGGAGUUUAAAAGCCUUCUGAUUUGUGAGGAUUGGGCUCUUUUGGUGUACUUUCUCGUACGGUUAGUCAACAUCGGUUUUGAAUGUCAUAAAAUGACUGGAGGAAUGUGGCUUCGAUCUCGUAUCGAAGUGUUAUAACCUUUGGUAGAUGUGAUGUUCGAGACCGAGGAUUGCAACGGAUACCUUCCGGGCUAUUCCUCCGAACCCCGAAACCUUGCCC